CCUACGGGAGGCAGCAGUGGGGAAUCUUGCGCAAUGGGCGAAAGCCUGACGCAGCCAUGCCGCGUGAAUGAUGAAGGUCUUAGGAUUGUAAAAUUCUUUCACCGGGGACGAUAAUGACGGUACCCGGAGAAGAAGCCCCGGCUAACUUCGUGCCAGCAGCCGCGGUAAUACGAAGGGGGCUAGCGUUGCUCGGAAUUACUGGGCGUAAAGGGAGCGUAGGCGGAUAGUUUAGUCAGAGGUGAAAGCCCAGGGCUCAACCUUGGAAUUGCCUUUGAUACUGGCUAUCUUGAGUACGGAAGAGGUAUGUGGAACUCCGAGUGUAGAGGUGAAAUUCGUAGAUAUUCGGAAGAACACCAGUGGCGAAGGCGACAUACUGGUCCGUUACUGACGCUGAGGCUCGAAAGCGUGGGGAGCAAACAGGAUUAGAUACCCUGGUAGUCCACGCUGUAAACGAUGAGUGCUAGUUGUCGGCAUGNAUGCAUGUCGGUGACGCAGCUACGACAUAAGUACACUCCGCCGUCGGGGAGGUACGGUACGGCGAACGAAUUAAAACUUAAACUAAGUAAGUAGUAGACGCGUAGACGAGCGACGACGACGACGACGGAGGAGGAG
rnacentral:rRNA from 1 species